rnacentral:sRNA from 1 species
GUUAUUCCUUGGCUUACUUCGUCAACAUCAAGAGCAAAAAGCAGCACCCCAAAAUGCGAGCUGGAAAAUCUGUCAACAAAAUUGAGGCCAAAAAACCAUCUGAGCAGUCAUUCGUUCAUUGAUUACCACUCAUUACGGAAAGUAAAUAGUGUUUGAAUAAAAUAAACUGGAUGGUCCAAGUUAUUUGCUAGAUUCUACUUGAGAUGUCCUGAUUUGCUUACACAAGCCCAGGAGCGUGUCAAUCUGAAAGGCCUGAAAUUCCGAGUUAAGACCAGGCCCGUAUCCAAUGCAAUUGAGACAACAUGACAACAAAGCCUGUCGCUUCCGGAAUCCGUGGGGAAUUGGCUCCAGGAGCAUUUGGCAGCCCUUGACCCGGGUUGCCUUCGAUUAUGCCAUUUAGCAGUGCAAAUAAAUACAAUUGCCGUUUCGUUCGCUGUUUGAGUCUCGAUUUCAAUUGAGUGGGCAAAUGAGGGCGAUGGGCGGAGGACUCCAAGGACACGGCGGAGUAGGUGGAACUAAAGAUAAACAAGAGACGAGCGAAAAGGAAGGAUGUAACUUGGCAAGCAAGCGAGUGGCAGAGACUCACGACGAGCUUUUGUUAUUUUUAACAGCAAUUUCCAAGAAAAACAAAAAGAUGACUAAGCAAGGAGCGCUCCUUACCCAGUUGGAUGUUGUUGCAGCUGAGCGAAAAUAUAUUUGCCGCCAUAUUUUGAGACAAUAUCCUUCGCAUUUGGGAAGCUCCUUACAUGAAGGAAGCAACACUCACGCCCAAACGAAGACGUGUGUACGCUUGUGUGUGUGUGUGCUGCGAGGCUACGCAUUGUGCUUCCGUUUCCGCUUUGUUGAACUCCACUUGUUUACUCGAUUUAAGGAAAUAUUACCGGCACAAACAAACAAACAAAGUGCAGCGGCAACGGCAGCGCCAGCGAAGUAGUAACAACAACAUCCAGGUCUAAACCAGGCAGACAAAGCGGAUAUAGAUCUCUGUACCGCGUCUCCCAGGUCAGUUUCCGGCCACCUCCAACUUCCGCCCACCGCUCACCAGCCAAUGCACCCACCUAUAUGGCUGUGUGCGUCCAACAGACAAGUCAUAAGUUUUUACGGUUCGUUGCAGACAAGUAGUAAGAAAUUUUUAUGCUUCCCAACUUUCUGUAAUAACUCCAACACAAAAAAGCAAAAAAAAAAAAUGGGUGCAGCAUUGGCGAAACCCACAAAAGCCACGCCGAUGGACAAAUCCCCUAGAGAAGGAAUGAAAAAAUUAAAUUUAAACAAGUGUUACAAUGAAUAAAUUAUAGAUGAAUAUUUAA